GAAGGCUUCUGUUUCUCCAUAGGACAGUACAACACAGGCAGCAGCAGGCCCGGCAUUCCACCCUCACCCCUCAAACUACCUCCAUCGAAUGUGCCUCACCCCUGCUGUGGAGAGAUCAUCCCAAAGGGAGAUAGGGAGUUC
rnacentral:sRNA from 1 species